GGGGGCGGGGGGGGGCACGGCCGGACUCGCUGCGGCAGCGGGCGCAGCCGCGGCCCGAGGCAACCGGGCGCGGACGGGGAGCCGCCCCGGCAGCCUCAAGCCCGUCGCUAGGCGACCGCCGCCGCCAUUUUGCCGGUCGCAGGCGCCGCUCCCUUUGCGCCCUUCCUCUCGCGCUGAGAGCCGUGGGGGCGGGUGAGGUGAUUCGUGGAAGAACUCUACAGCUCCAAGCAAGAAGGACACUGCCUGCUUCUUUUCAGCUCUAACUCAUGAUACAUUUCUGGACAAUGCUGAGCACACGUGUGAUUUUCUAAGAUGGUUUCCAUAUAUUCCUAUAGCUGUAUGUGGACCACUCUUCCUGGGCUGACAGCUCUCCAUCCAUAGGUAAGUCUUGGCUUUCCAAGGGAAGAAAACUGUUCUAUGACAGUCAUCCAGUAACACAAGAAAGGCUCAUUACAAUGAAAAAAUUGUACCCCACAGGGAAGAGGGGAUACAGAAACAGAACUGUGUUUUUACAAAGAUUAUGGUUUUUCCAAUACCUGAAUCCUGAAAAGCCUUCUGCAGCAUGAGCCAUCUUUUGCCCUGUCUUAGGGCUCCAGUCAUAUGCUGCGCCUGUGUGUGGAUCUCCUCCAGCUCACCCUGGGCACUCAUAUGAUCAUAUUGUGAAGAAAUGAACAGAUCCCACCUACCUUGGCACCAGAGUUGUCUGCCUGAAAAAAUACCAUGUGCAUGUGCGCAGGAUGAGCAAGUGAGCAGGAUGAGCUCACGUCUGUACAGGGCUCUCUUGCUACUGCUGCUCACCUGCAUGGCAUCUCUCCCUGCCAGCCUGCACAGUGCAGAUAGUCAAACUGGUCAAGGGAGAAGCAACAGACCAUGGCCAUCUCACACAUACGCCCUGUGCAAAAGUAGCAUUGCAGCUUAACCCCUAUGUAAAUCAAGAUUAAUUCACAAAGGCCCAAGACCCGCAGACAUGCAGCAAAUGCAGAACCCUAUGCUUGCUUCUUUAUUGUAGAAUCAUAGAAUCAUUAAGGUUGGAAGAGACCUUCAAUAUCAUCUGGUCCAACCAUUACCCUACUACUAACAUCACCCACUAAACCAUGUCCCUAAGCACUAGGUCCGAAGGUGAGGAUUCUCUCCAAAUCCAAAUCAACCCUUCCAAGUUUUCAGAUCAAGGACUACAUGGAAGGGGGUAAU